AAGCCGUCACACACACACACGCAAAACAACAAAAAAUAAAAAGAAGAAAAACGAAAUAUUUUUUAAAGAGCAACCAUCGUACCUUCACAAUACCUUUCUUUCUUUUUUUUCCCCU
rnacentral:ribozyme from 1 species